GGGGGGCAUGAUUGGGGUUAAGUCGUAACAAGGUAUCCGUACCGGAAGGUGCGGAUGGAUUACCUCCUUUCUAGGGAG
rnacentral:rRNA from 1 species